GAAAACUGCUGUGGAAAACUCAGCCAGAAGCUAGCAAGUGUCAAGUGAAUCCAUAACAUCACCACAAACGUCUUUUCAAGCCAGGCAACCUCAGCGUGAAGAGAUCCAGAAGGUAGCAGCCACACUGCAGGAAAAAUGCCCCCAUGUGACCAUCAAUGAGGAUGCAUUGUUUGACGAGGUUACUGGCCUGCAAGAGUUCCUAAAGGGGGGAUCGCUUGAAGAAUGGAAAACAUCGGAGACACCGCUUAGUCAGAGAUGGAGCACGGUGGUUACCCACUUCAAAAAGAACGACAUCCCACACACUAACCUGGCUAGAUUAGCGUCUGUUGUCAUGUGCUUACCUGGAAGUAAUACACCAGUCGAGAGAGUGUUCUCCCAAAUGAAUGAUAUAUGGACAGCAACAAGAAAUAGGUUCACUGUUCCUACCAUCAAGGCCAUGCUUAUUGUGAAGACAAACUUCAACCUCCCCUGCCAGGAGUUAAUGGAGAAGCUGGCCAAAGACAGAGCAAUCCUGAAUAAGAUACAUUCUUCUGAGAAAUAUACAGAUUAGACUACCAGGACCACUGAAUGGCUGUUCAGAUCGGACAGUUCUGUCUUGUCUGUAGUGUUUCUGUAAUAUAGUUGUUUUCUCUGUCUAUCACAGUGUGCCCGUUAGACUAAAUACAUGAAACCGGAAUUGUCCCCUUUUUUUAUUUCAUAGAUAAUAACAUUGGAUAUUUUAAUGAUAUAUUGACCGCCGAACUGGAAAUGUCCCCGGUUUAAAUUUCAGAAAUCUGGUUACCUUACACUACAUAGGGUGGUGCGGACAGAACCAGUACAUCAUCCAGGACCUCUAAAUUAGGUGGUGUACGUGACAUUAAACCAUAAAACUUUUCUAACUUCACAUGCAAUACCUAGGCUAGUUCUGCACCCCUAAACAAAUAAAAAAGGUCUUAAUGUGUGUUCCUGUAAACAUAAUUGCUAGCUAGCUAGUUUUCCCCCCCAAAAACAAAAGCAAUGCUUUAACUGAAAUGUAAUAUACUCUUUACUAACUAGUAUAUGCUUUUAUUUUAGCUGCUUAGUUAGCAUGCUAGAUUCGCUAGCUACCUCAGCUUUGCCAGUCCUGGUAGACAGUUAGCCUAACGUUAGCAAGCUAGCCUAAAUAACAGCUGCUGGCAAUGGCUGGCUUGCUAACACAGGCUUAUAAACUGGUUCGCCAAAAGAAAGUUUCACUCAGUAUCAGAGGAUCAUGAGAAAUGUAAACAUUUGGCAAAAAGUGUUACCCACCUGAAUGUUCUUCGCUUCAAAUUCACUACAAAAGAGCACCUGUUGGGUGGGGCAAGACGAAAUGUAAACAACUUGGUUGCAACAUAGCUACUAGCCAGCUAGCAUUAGCAAGCUAGCAUAAAACCAGUUGCUGAAGUGAAACCUCUUUUGCGGACACGCUGGUUGUUGUGAACGCAUGCUUGGUAGAUGCACAAAUAUUAUUUUUGUAUAUUAACAUUGCAUUAUUAUGAAAGUUAAAUGUGAGAUGGAUGCAUGCUUUGCAGCCGCCAUAGCUAGCUAGCUAACCUUUUAACUCGAGUGACCUCUCAACUCCUUACUCUCACCCAAGCACAUGCCAUCAGGGGACCCUGUUUAUGUGGGCUGGGUGAGGAAAAGUGGACAGCAGGCCUGCUGUGUUGAAGGCUCGAAGGGGACUCGAACAGCUUUAUCAGACUCCCUCCUCUAAUCAAAGUGCAUAAGAGAGAAGAAGAUAGUGUUGGUGAUUAUGUGUAUUUGUGAUGCAAAUAAUUAGCAAUCAACUGUAUGUCAUAAUGAUUGUGAUCUGGAAUCUCUGCUCCAAGCCU